UUCUUGGAACUUCUCGAACAAGGCACAAACUCCAGACAGCUGCCAUCUGGGAGGUUCUUGUUGUCUCCGAUCUUCACUCAGGCCAUCCUGGACACAUUCCCAUGGCAGAGGCAUCAGAACCCUACAACGCCCAGUGCUUCUUUGAGGCCCAGGGGUCACAGGGAUUGAACUCAGGCUGUCAGGAUUGGCAACAAGUGCCUUUUACCAACCGAGCCAUCUCAUCACCACAGAGGCGCUUUCACGGUACAGCUCUGGAUGGCCUGGAACCCGCUAUGUAGGAAGUCAAGCCCCGGGAUUCACCUGCCUCUGCGUCCCCUCUGCUGGGGUCAUGGGCGUGCACUUAUAGCAUCUUCAGCAAGGCUCCAUUUUAGAACAGAAAAAAAAAAUCUGCAAAGUGACUUGACAAAAAAGUGUAAAUAUGGGGAUGGCAAAGAGUUGUUACUCUUCCAGCUCUUUCAUCCAUCCAGGACGGCAAGGAGAUAGCCAUCACUCCUGUUUGUGGCAGAAGAAAUGAAGGCACAGAUGAGGGGGGGCGUAACAAAGGUCACAGGGCUGGAGAGAGGGAGUGCACAGAGCUGAGAGAGCCCAGUCUCUUUUUGACCGUUCUGGACAAUUUGAUUAGAACAGAUCUCCAGUGGAUCACCGACGAGCACUCUUGAAAAUGACGUGGUGUCUUGGCGGAAGUGGAUAAAUGUUCGUCUGCCCGGCGGCGAAAGGAGCUGGGCGGAUCUUUCCACUGAACGUGGAGCCAGACUGGACACCAGCAAGCCCCAGAGACCCUCCUGUUUCCACUCCUUGAAAUGCUAGGGUGUGCGCGGCCAUAUUUGGCUUUGUAUGUGCACUCCGAGGACUUGAACUGAGGUCCUCACAGUAGCUCAGCCAGUGCUCUUACUGUCUCAGCCAUUUCU